rnacentral:rRNA from 1 species
CCUACGGGGGGCUGCAGUGGGGAAUAUUGCACAAUGGGCGCAAGCCUGAUGCAGCCAUGCCGCGUGUGUGAAGAAGGCCUUCGGGUUGUAAAGCACUUUCAGCGGGGAGGAAGGCGUUAAGGUUAAUAACCUUGGCGAUUGACGUUACCCGCAGAAGAAGCACCGGCUAACUCCGUGCCAGCAGCCGCGGUAAUACGGAGGGUGCAAGCGUUAAUCGGAAUUACUGGGCGUAAAGCGCACGCAGGCGGUCUGUCAAGUCGGACGUGAAAUCCCCGGGCUCAACCUGGGAACUGCAUUCGAAACUGGCAGGCUAGAGUCUUGCAGAGGGGGGUAGAAUUCCAGGUGUAGCGGUGAAAUGCGUAGAGAUCUGGAGGAAUACCGGUGGCGAAGGCGGCCCCCUGGACAAAGACUGACGCUCAGGUGCGAAAGCGUGGGGAGCAAACAGGAUUAGAUACCCGGGUAGUC